AUGAGGCAAAAUCUCUUCAGUCCCAUGACAUCAGGCCAGGGCGAGCCGCUGGCCUUGGGACUGCCCAAACGCUGGUGGACCCCCUGUCACUGGCUUGGGGCCCCUCUCUGCCUCUUGUACCUCCUCCAAGAAGCCCAGCUACCUCCGAGGCAGGAUGGAGCCCCCUCAGGGCUCCCAGGGAAGGCAUUGGAAGCAGCUUUCCUCAGGGCUGAGAAAUCAUGUUCUAUAAGGAGCCAGAAAGCGCCUGGAACCCCCAAAGACAGGCUUGAUUUCAAGCCCAAACCCGGGAGGUCAGAGAGCGGCUCUCCUGGAAAGCCAUCAAACCCCUUCCUGGCCAAAAUAAAGCCAGGACCCUGGCUUUGUGAAAAGGCGCUGGCAAGCCCCAACUCAGGGGACGAGGAGCACCACGUCAUGGAUGACUCGAAUGCCCUCCAGGCCCGCUGGGAUCUGAAACUUGAUGAAAUGAAAGGCUGCACGGAAGUCCCCGGAGCCCGUCAUUUCCAGUGUCUAGAAAGCAGGCUGAAGUCUUGGAAAAGCCCGACCCAGAGACAGGCUUUAGUCCAGUGCAGAGCCCGGGGUCAUCUGGAGGAACGGGAGAAAGAGCUCUUUGGAGCAUCAGGGUUCUGCCCAUCCCUGGCCGGGAGAAUUGGGCCAAGUUGCCUCCUUUCAAGGUUUCCACGAAGUAGAGAAACUGGUGUAGCUCUUGGGCCGGCCUUAACCACCAAGAGCCAAGCGAGGGGGCACCCCGCAAAGAGGCCAACACAGUACCUGGCACACAAGAUCCUUGAGUCCAACCAUGAAGAACGUCUGGAAGGCUGAUCAUCAUGGAUUCCCCAACAAAGACAAUUGAGAAGGAAUGAAUUGUGAGGUGGAAGAAUCAAGAGAGCAGCAUCACCAAAACCCAAGGAGAGGCUGGCACAUGGGAAGGAUUUAGUGAAUGCUUGUUGUGUGCAGAAUUGGAAACAAGGAGGCCUUUAAAAUAUGUUCAUGCUGGUCUUUCUUCAAAAUGGAUGGUCUCCUCUCUUGCUUCUCCCUAAGAGUGAAGGAGAGAUGCCUUGGGAAGGAGCUGGGGGACUCUCAGGAGUCCGGAGUGUUCCAGGGCCCAGGUCCCCAAGAGCAGCUCACAAGGGGCCCUCAGGGCUCUUUGAAGUAUCACUCCUUCUGUAGAAACGCGGAAGAGAAACACGAUUGAUCACAUGGGUCGAUGGGGACAUGCCUGGGGAUGCAGACUCUAAACAAUCACUCUAUCGCAAAUGUUGAUAAUAUGGAAAUGGGUCUUGAUCAAGGACACGUGUAAAACCCAGUGGAACUGCUUGUUGGCUACAGGAGAGGAGGGAGGGAAGGAACAUGAAUCAUGGAAUCAUGGAAAAAUAGUCUUAAUUAAUGAAGUAAAAUAAUCAAAAAUUUAAAAAAGAACUCUCUCUCGCAUUUGCUGAG
rnacentral:lncRNA from 1 species